GACGAACGCUGGCGGCGUGCUUAACACAUGCAAGUCGAACGGAAAGGCCCUGCUUUUGUGGGGUGCUCGAGUGGCGAACGGGUGAGUAACACGUGAGUAACCUGCCCUUGACUUUGGGAUAACUUCAGGAAACUGGGGCUAAUACCGGAUAGGAGCUCCUGCUGCAUGGUGGGGGUUGGAAAGUUUCGGCGGUUGGGGAUGGACUCGCGGCUUAUCAGCUUGUUCGUGGGGUAGUGGCUUACCAAGGCUUUGACGGGUAGCCGGCCUGCGAGGGUGACCGGCCACAUUGGGACUGAGAUACGGCCCAGACUCCUACGGGAGGCAGCGGUGGGGAAUAUUGCACAAUGGGCGGAAGCCUGAUGCAGCAACGCCGCGUGCGGGAUGACGGCCUUCGGGUUGUAAACCGCUUUCGCCUGUGACGAAGCGUGAGUGACGGUAAUGGGUAAAGAAGCACCGGCUAACUACGUG
rnacentral:rRNA from 1 species